rnacentral:rRNA from 1 species
AUGGCAAUAGCUGGAUUGUCGUCCAUUCUUGGUCUUGGACUUUGGUGCAUGAGCAACAACCUCCGCCCGUCCGAGGUUGAUUGGGUCAAAACUGGCGUUGUUUCUCCACUUGUGAGGACACAAAACGACUGUCAAUGUUGUUGGGCCAUGGCUGUCGUAGCCUCAGCCGAAGCCGCACACUAUCAAAACACCUCGCAGCUAAUCUCAUUGUCGGUUCAAGAACUCAUCGACUGUGACACAGAGAGAAAUGGGUGUGAGGGCGGCUCCGAUGAAUUGGAAAACUAUAGUGGAGGCAUAAUGGAUUACAAAGCCAUCGAAGGCGGGACAGGGUGGACGCAUGCCGUCCUGAUUGUUGGUUACGGCACAGAUUCAGCCGGCGUCAAGUAUUGGCGCUUCAAGAACUCGUGGGGGCCAGGCUGGGGCGAGGGAGGUUUUGGGAGGAUCCGCAGGCACGUUGACGAUGAGUGAGGGGCGUUGGGUAUUUUCAUGAAACAGGGGUACAUCCGGUGCUUGAGGACUGACGAAUCUUGCAUGCAUGGUUGGAUCUUUUGCUCGUAA